rnacentral:rRNA from 1 species
CUGUUCUCACCUUGACGGUAUCUAACCAGAAAGCCACGGCUAACUACGUGCCAGCAGCCGCGGUAAUACGUAGGUGGCAAGCGUUGUCCGGAUUUAUUGGGCGUAAAGCGAGCGCAGGCGGUUUCUUAAGUCUGAUGUGAAAGCCCUCGGCUCAACCGUGGAGGGUCAUUGGAAACUGGGAGACUUGAGUGCAGAAGAGGAAAGUGGAAUUCCAUGUGUAGCGGUGAAAUGCGCAGAGAUAUGGAGGAACACCAGUGGCGAAGGCGACUUUCUGGUCUGUAACUGACGCUGAUGUGCGAAAGCGUGGGGAUCAAACAGGAUUAGAUACCCUGGUAGUCCACGCCGUAAACGAUGAGUGCUAAGUGUUGGAGGGUUUCCGCCCUUCAGUGCUGCAGCUAACGCAUUAAGCACUCCGCCUGGGGAGUACGACCGCAAGGUUG